GAUGAACGCUAGCGGCAGGCUUAACACAUGCAAGUCGAGGGGCAGCACUGGUAGCAAUACUUGGUGGCGACCGGCGCAAGGGUGCGUAACGCGUGAGCAACAUGCCCGUAUCAGGGGGAUAAUCCAUGGAAACGUGGUCUAAUACCCCAUAGUAAGUUUUUGGGGCAUCUCAAAGAUUUUAAAGCUUUGGUGGAUACGGAUUGGCUCGCGUGACAUUAGCUAGAUGGAAAGGUAACGGCUUACAUGGCUACGAUGUCUAGGGGUUCUGAGAGGAAGGUCCCCACACUGGAACUGAGACACGGUCCAGACUCCUACGGGAGGCAGCAGUGAGGAAUAUUGGACAAUGGGCGCAAGCCUGAUCCAGCCAUGCCGCGUGAGUGAAGAAGGCCUGGUGUAACU
rnacentral:rRNA from 1 species